rnacentral:rRNA from 1 species
GACGAACGCUGGCGGCGUGCUUAACACAUGCAAGUCGAGCGGAAAGGCGCUGCUUUUGUGGGGUGCUCGAGUGGCGAGCGGGUGAGUAACACGUGAGUAUCCUGCCCUUGACUGUGUGAUAACUUCAGGAGACUGCGGAUAAUACCGGAUAGGAGCUCCUGCAGCAUGGUGGUGGUUGGAAAGUUUCGGCGGUAGGGGAUAGACUCGCGGCUUAUCAGCUUGUUGGUCGGGUAGUGGCUUACCAAGGCAUUGACGGAUAGCCGGCCUGGGAGCGUAGACAGGCACCAGGCUCCUACGGGACGGACCAGACUGGUACGUGAGGCAGUGGGCGAAAGCAUGACACAGCGAGGGCACGUCUGUUGCGAAGAUGUUCGGAUCGUAAAGCCCGCUUACUGGGGAUAAACCGCUGUCGCCUGAGACGUAGCGGUAGUGACGGUACCGAGUAAAGAAGCACCGGCUAACUACGUG